CAUUACUGAGUUUACGCUCUACAACCCUUUGUGAACAUACCUAUAACUGUUGCUUCGGCGGGUAGGGUCUCCGUGACCCUCCCGGCCUCCCGCCCCCGGGCGGGUCGGCGCCCGCCGGAGGAUAACCAAACUCUGAUUUAACGACGUUUCUUCUGAGUGGUACAAGCAAAUAAUCAAAACUUUUAACAACGGAUCUCUUGGUUCUGGCAUCGAUGAAGAACGCAGCGAAAUGCGAUAAGUAAUGUGAAUUGCAGAAUUCAGUGAAUCAUCGAAUCUUUGAACGCACAUUGCGCCCGCCAGCAUUCUGGCGGGCAUGCCUGUUCGAGCGUCAUUUCAACCCUCAAGCUCUGCUUGGUGUUGGGGCCCUACAGCCGAUGUAGGCCCUCAAAGGUAGUGGCGGACCCUCCCGGAGCCUCCUUUGCGUAGUAACUUUACGUCUCGCACUGGGAUCCGGAGGGACUCUUGCCGUAAAACCCCCAAUUUUCCAAAGGUUGAC
rnacentral:rRNA from 1 species